rnacentral:rRNA from 1 species
UACAGAGGGGGCAAGCGUUGUUCGGAAUUACUGGGCGUAAAGGGCGCGUAGGUGGCCUCCUAAGUCGAACGUGAAAUCCCUGGGCUCAACCCAGGAACUGCGUCCGAGACUGGGAGGCUUGAAUCCGGGAGAGGGAUGCGGAAUUCCAGGUGUAGCGGUGAAAUGCGUAGAUAUCUGGAGGAACACCGGUGGCGAAGGCGGCAUCCUGGACCGGUAUUGACACUGAGGCGCGAAAGCCAGGGGAGCAAACAGG